GGCGGGGCUGGGCUGGGCUGGACUGGUCAGCUCUGCCGCCCAGCACUGCUGCUCAGUC
rnacentral:miRNA from 1 species